rnacentral:piRNA from 1 species
UCAUCAAUAGUAAACAAAAGGGGGAG